rnacentral:rRNA from 1 species
UACGGAGGGUGCAAGCAUUAAUCGGAUUUAUUGGGCGUAAAGGGCGCGUAGGCGGAGAUACAAGUCAGACGUGAAAUCCCGGGGCUCAACCUCGGAAUAGCAUUUGAAACUGUAUCCCUAGAGGGUAGUCGGAGAAAAUGGAAUUCCACAAGUAGCGGUGAAAUGCGUAGAUAUGUGGAAGAACACCGGUGGCGAAGGCAGGUCCCUGGGCUGACACUGACGCUCAUGCACGAAAGCGUGGGGAGCAAACAGG